UGGGAGGGACGGCCCUCCUAUCCACCAGCAUAUCAGCCGCGGGGACGACCCUG
rnacentral:ncRNA from 1 species